AGCAGGAAGUCAAAAGCUGGACCCGGAAGAGAAUUACGAACUUUGAGGGAUAUGAGCUGUCAAACCUUUAUUGGUAGUUUUGAAGUUUUCGGAGAGCGUAUAUUGUAAAAGAUGGCGCAGUUUCACGAGAGCAUUCGCAAUAGUUUAUCAGAAUUUGACAAAUUUCUGGAAGCUCUGAAAAAUGAAAAGUUGUCGAAGAAGUUGCAAAGUAACAGGGACAAGGUGACAGAGUUGCUGAAGAAGUUGAGGGAGGACUACCCAGCUCUUGCCCCAACAACAACAAAUGACAGAGAUGAGUCUGACGGAUCAGCAGGGAAAGUGAGCUUCCAGAGUGGGGGCGCGGCAGAUGAUGACGACUAUGCAUACACUGAGACAUCAGAUGUGCCUGAAGUUGCUGUGAAAGAUUUAACAAAUCCUGUCAAAAUGGGUUUCUUGGAAAAGAAGAGGAAAAAAACCACACUUCUACAAAGUGCCUAUCAGAAGAGAUUCUGUGUCAUCCAGAACAAGACCUUCUACUACUAUGAGAAGAGCAAGGAUGCAAAACAGUCUGGAGCCUUUUUUCUCGAAGGCUAUGAGUUCCGUGAAGCACCACAACACGUCAAGGAGGCUGCCAAGAAGGAGUUGAGCUUUGAGAUGGUGGCGCCAGGAAAACGGUCAUACCAGUUUCUCGCAGAGUCGAAGGAGGAGUUUCAGGUGUGGCGUUCGAUCAUCGAGAGUGGUGGAGAACCAACAGAAGACACCUAUGAAAUCUUCAGCGAUGGCUUCUCCAACUACUACAACCAACAAUACGACGACAUAGCAGCGGCCGUCACCCCAGGCGGCGAGAGGUAUGAGGCACUCGACAAGGAUACAACAGGGAUGUACGAUGAUGCCAGAACGCCACAGCUUCCAUCCAUGCCUCCGCCAGCCAUUCCCAAACAACCUAUACCCCAGAUACCCGCUGUCCCAAAACAACCUAUACCCCAGAUACCCGCUGUCCCCAAACAAGCAGUCUCCCAGACCAAGCCUGUUGACAAACAACAGCCCCCGCCUCGCCUACCGAUCAGGAUCGUUGUCAACCCGGACGAGGAUUUUGAGAAUAUGUAUUACGGGAAGUGGGCAAAUAAGGCCGACUCUGAAGACGAAUUGUCCUUCAAGGUGGCCGACAUUAUUCACAUCGUCAGCCGAGAUUAUGACAAACAAGGCUGGUGGAUUGGACGAAUUAAGGACACCUCAAAUUAUGGUCUGGUCCCGAAACAAUUGCUGUUUCCUGCCUAUCGGGCUAUGUAAUCAUGUACGGUCAUCCUCACAGACUGAGCAGUUUGACCAGUGGUAAUAGUAGCUGUGGUUGGGCUAGCAGUGAUAUACAUUUAAUCAGAAUAUUGUCAUGUUUUGAUGAUGUUUGUAGCUGAUUCAUACAGAGGUCUCGUGUAAAUUAUUCUUCAAUUUUAGAUCUUAUCUGUAAACAAAGUGCAAUAAUACAUCAACAUAUUUCCAACUUGUGUGUUUUUAAUGAUACAAUAAUGUCAGGUCAAACUGAGGAUAUGGAACAUUAAUAAAUAAAUAAAUCCUCUUAUGUACAAGAGCCACCUUCAUGCAUCCAGGAAAAUGUGGGUUAAAAUUGGUCCUCAGCCACCCAUGAUUGCUGUACUAUAUGUGGAGUGUGAUUGGGUGGUCAGGCUGUUGCAUGUCAUCAUACCCCAACUGCAAUAAUUGAUGCUCAUGAUGUCAAUCACUGAAUUGUGUGGUCCAAACUUGAUUGUUUACAGAUUACUGCCAUAUAGCUGAAAGAUUAUAGUUGAGUCCAGCGUAAAACAACAGACAUUUUCAGCCAUCAAAUGUAAUGAGUGAGUGAGUUUAGUUUUACGCCAGACUCAGCAAUAUUCCAGCUAUAUGGCGGCUGUCUGUAAAUAAUCGAGUCUGGACCAGACAAUCCAGUGAUCAACAUCAUGAGCAUUGAUCUACGCAAUUGGGAUACGAUGACAAAAUGUAAUGACAAACAAUUCAACUAAAACAAAUUUAGUCAGCUUUAGGGUUCCUAACAGCCAUGGUAGCUUACAUUCUACGAUUACUUUAAAAUUCUGUUUUGUCCAUUGAAACAGUCUUUGUUUCAAGUUUAAAGUAAUGAUAUAAGAUUAAGAUACAAAGAGCAGAGCCUUUGAUAGCAUUUCCUUCUAUCAGUGUAGUCAUGGUUCUGUAUGCUUAUGUUUCCACUGAAGUCAUUCUGAUUUCAGGAUGAUAAAAUCAGUUUCAGAGCACUGUGCCUGCAAUCAAGUAGGGGAUUAAAAAAAUGAAUGAGGAGUUUCAGAUAAACAGGUAAACUAUUUUAUAUUGCAGAUUGGGUCAUUUUAAUUGCUGCAGAUCUUCUUCUUCACUCAGGUGUUCCCUGAAUUCUUACUACCAGUAUAUUGAAGUAUAUUAAUUGUUGCAGAUAUUCCUGUUCGCUCAGGUGUUCCCUGAAUCCUUGCUACCAGUAUAUUGAAGUAUAUUAAUUGUUGCAGAUAUUCCUGUUCGCUCAGGUGUUCCUUGAAUCCUUGCUACCAGUAUAUUCAAGUAUAUUAAUUGUUGCAGAUAUUCCUGUUCGCUCAGGUGUUCCCUUAAUUCUUACUACCAGUAUAUUCAAGUAUAUUAAUUGUUGCAGAUAUUCCUGUUCGCUCAGGUGUUCCCUGAAUCCUUGCUACCAGUAUAUUCAAGUAUAUUAAUUGUUGCAGAUAUUCCUGUUCGCUCAGGUGUUCCCUGAAUCCUUGCUACCAGUAUAUUCAAGUAUAUUAACUGUUGCAGAUAUUCCUGUUCGCUCAGGUGUUCCCUUAAUUCUUACUACCAGUAUAUUCAAGUAUAUUAAUUGCUGCAGAUAUUCCUGUGCAGUCAGGUGUUCCCUUAUUUAUUUCUAUCAGUGAUGAUGGCUGCAGAUAUUCUUGUUACCUUAUUUCUUUCUAUCAGCAUAUGUGUUUUGCUGUAGGCAUUAUUUACUCAUUUGUGCCUUUCCUCUAAGCUAAUUUUUCCAUUACUGGCAGUCAGUGGUCCAUUCAUAUGGUUCCUGCUGCUGGUUUGCAUUUUGUAGGGUCUCUUUCUGCAGGUUGUUGGUUGUUCUCUGAUGUUGUCUUUUUGUGUUAUCUAUAUUUAUAUUUUGUUGUAGAUCUUAAUGUUAACUCAAAAUGUACUUGUCACUUAGCUUUUGUGUCAAAAUAGGAGUAUUGUCUCUCUCGGUGAUGGAAAUAAAGACAUAUAUUAAAA